GUGGGACAAAAGAGGAGAGGAAGGAAGGUGAGAUGGGAGGGUGGGACAAAAGAGGAGAGGAAGGAAGGUGAGAUGGGAGGGUGGGACAAAAGAGGAGAGGAAGGAAGGUGAGAUGGGAGGGUGGGACAAAAGAGGAGAGGAAGGAAGGUGAGAUGGGAGGGUGGGACAAAAGAGGAGAGGAAGGAAGGUGAGAUGGGAGGGUGGGACAAAAGAGGAGAGGAAGGAAGGUGAGAUGGGAGGAUGGGACAAAAGAGGAGAGGAAGGAAGGUGAGAUGGGAGGAUGGGACAAAAGAGGAGAGGAAGGAAGGUGAGAUGGGAGGGUGGGACAAAAGAGGAGAGGAAGGAAGGUGAGCUGGGAGGGUGGGACAAAAGAGGAGAGGAAGGAAGGUGAGAUGGGAGGGUGGGACAAAAGAGGAGAGGAAGGAAGGUGAGAUGGGAGGGUGGGACAAAAGAGGAGAGGAAGGAAGGUGAGAUGGGAGGGUGGGACAAAAGAGGAGAGGAAGGAAGGUGAGAUGGGAGGGUGGGACAAAAGAGGAGAGGAAGGAAGGUGAGAUGGGAGGGUGGGACAAAAGAGGAGAGGAAGGAAGGUGAGAUGGGAGGGUGGGACAAAAGAGGAGAGGAAGGAAGGUGAGAUGGGAGGAUGGGACAAAAGAGGAGAGGAAGGAAGGUGA